rnacentral:rRNA from 1 species
UAGGGAAUCUUCGGCAAUGGACGGAAGUCUGACCGAGCAACGCCGCGUGAGUGAAGAAGGUUUUCGGAUCGUAAAGCUCUGUUGUAAGAGAAGAACGAGUGUGAGAGUGGAAAGUUCACACUGUGACGGUAUCUUACCAGAAAGGGACGGCUAACUACGUGCCAGCAGCCGCGGUAAUACGUAGGUCCCGAGCGUUGUCCGGAUUUAUUGGGCGUAAAGCGAGCGCAGGCGGUUAGAUAAGUCUGAAGUUAAAGGCUGUGGCUUAACCAUAGUAGGCUUUGGAAACUGUUUAACUUGAGUGCAAGAGGGGAGAGUGGAAUUCCAUGUGUAGCGGUAAAAUGCGUAGAUAUAUGGAGGAACACCGGUGGCGAAAGCGGCUCUCUGGCUUGUAACUGACGCUGAGGCUCGAAAGCGUGGGGAGCAAACAGGAUUAGAUACCCUGGUAGUCCACGCUGUAAACGAUGAGUGCUAGGUGUUAGACCCUUUCCGGGGUUUAGUGCCGUAGCUAACGCAUUAAGCACUCCGCCUGGGGAGUACGACCGCAAGGUUG